rnacentral:rRNA from 1 species
UACAGAGGGUGCAAGCGUUAAUCGGAUUUACUGGGCGGAAAGCGCGCGUAGGUGGCCAAUUAAGUCAAAUGUGAAAUCCCCGAGCUUAACUUGGGAAUUGCAUUCGAUACUGGUUGGCUAGAGUAUGGGAGAGGAUGGUAGAAUUCCAGGUGUAGCGGUGAAAUGCGUAGAGAUCUGGAGGAAUACCGAUGGCGAAGGCAGCCAUCUGGCCUAAUACUGACACUGAGGUGCGAAAGCAUGGGGAGCAAACAGG